AGAUAAUCUGGACAUUUUUCAUAUUAGUGGAUGAACGUAGUUUGAGCAUUAAGUUACAGGAAGUUUUGAAUCCAGCUGCUGUAGCUGGACACCCGGGUGUAGACACUGGGGUAAGUUCCGGAGCACGUGCUGAUGCCCCAUGACGUCACUCCAGCCUGGAUCCAUGCACCGUUCUUCUCGCAAACAUAGGGUCCGCCGCUGUCACCCUGUGGAAUAUCAAAAAUAGCUGUCACACACAACACCUAUACUAUUUACUCGUUUUACAGACUUAUUCCACUUGACACCCAUAUUUGACUUACACUGCAAGCUGAUUUUCCUUCCUCGUACAAACAAAUAUGGCUGCUGAAAAUGCUUGCACCUGAAACACCGCUCCAUCUGUUGGAGCAUUCAGUGUUAGCAAUGUUGUUCAUCUUUGCUUCCAUCAGAGAGUUUGAGGUAGAUCCGGAUGCUUCAUAAACAAAAACAAAAAAAAUAUUACCAUUUUUCAAAUGACAUCAAAUGUAUAAUGAACGCUAUUGUAGAAACCUAGGCAUCUUACUUCCGACAUUGGUGCGACCCCAUCCAGUAAUCCAGCAGUUCUGUGUUCCAGAGAGGAAAUCUUCGUUGUUUGAGGCGAGGGUCGCCAGGGCAAUGGUAGAGCCCAGGGGAAUGGGGGAGCUCAGCUCCAGGACAGCGAUGUCAUUGGGGAAUCCGGCACUAGACCCGCUGUACUGGGGGUGCUGCAGUAGAAUAAGAGAUGUGUAGACACCCAGAUCAAUUUUACCCUUGGAAUGUGUUCAUAGCAAAACAAUAAAGCUUGCAAA
rnacentral:sRNA from 1 species